UACGGAGGGUGCAAGCGUUAUCCGGAUUCACUGGGGUUAAAGGGUGCGUAGGGGGAGUGGUAAGUCAGUGGUGAAAUCUCCAAGCUUAACUUGGAAACUGCCGUUGAUACUAUCAUUCUUGAAUAUCGUGGAGGUAAGCGGAAUAUGUCAUGUAGCGGUGAAAUGCUUAGAUAUGACAUAGAACACCGAUUGCGAAGGCAGCUUGCUACACGAUCAUUGACACUGAGGCACGAAAGCGUGGGGAUCAAACAGG
rnacentral:rRNA from 1 species